GACGAACGCUGGCGGCGUGCUUAACACAUGCAAGUCGAACGGAAAGGCCCUGCUUUUGUGGGGUGCUCGAGUGGCGAACGGGUGAGUAACCCGUGAGUAACCUGCCCUUGACUUUGGGAUAACUUCAGGAAACUGGGGCUAAUACCGGAUAGGAGCUCCUGCUGCAUGGUGGGGGGUGGAAAGUUUCGGCGGUUGGGGAUGGACUCGCGGCUUAUCAGCUUGUUGGUGGGGUAGUGGCUUACCGAGGCUUUGACGGGUAGCCGGCCUGAGAAGGUGACCGGCCACAUGGGUACUGAGGUACGGCCCAGACUCCUACGGGAGGCAGCAGUGGGGAAUAUUGCACAAUGGGCGGAAGCCUGAUGCAGCAACGCCGCGUGCGGGAUGACGGCCUUCGGGUUGUAAACCGCUUUCGCCUGUGACGGAGCGUGAGUGACGGUAAUGGGUAAAGAAGCACCGGCUAACUACGUG
rnacentral:rRNA from 1 species